UACGUAGGUCCCGAGCGUUGUCAGGAUUUAUUGGGCGUAAAGCGAGCGCAGGCGGUUCUUUAAGUCUGAAGUUAAAGGCAGUGGCUUAACCAUUGUACGCUUUGGAAACUGGAGGACUUGAGUGCAGAAGAGGAGAGUGGAAUUCCAUGUGUAGCGGUGAAAUGCGUAGAUAUAUGGAGGAACACCGGUGGCGAAAGCGGCUCUCUGGACUGUAACUGACACUGAGGCUCGAAAGCGUGGGUAGCAAACAGG
rnacentral:rRNA from 1 species